CCUUAGGGCCUCUAAAAUGCCCUUAGUUAAAGUUGAAAAAUAUUUCUCAAAACACAGGGUGCACUCUCUUCCAUCUCUCGCUAUUUACGUGUCCGUGACUUCAUGGUUCCGCCGUCGCGGUUGCUCUCCGAUGCCACCUUCCUGCACCGCCUCCACCAACUCCGCACAUUUAUCGACGCACGCGUUAAAUGGGUACGUGACCCCUACCUCGACACCGUUGUCUCUAAAGAGAAAGACCUCAAGCAAAUCAUUUCCCUCAAAAACCAAAUCCUCUCGUCAUCUCUCCCUCUCUCCACUCUCUCAACUUUCCCCGUCAAAUUCUUCCUAAAAUAUCCUACUUUUUUCCGAAUAUUCCAACCCUCGCCCUCCUUCCCGCUCCACAUCAAGCUCACCCCUCAAUCUCUGACUCUGCACAAAGAAGAGUCCGCCAUUCACAGCUUGCCAUGUCACCGUGAUGACGCCGUUAAACGGUUGGCGAAGUUGCUGAUGCUGGCUAAUGCUAGGAAGCUGCCGUUGCAUGUUGUGGACAAGUUCAAAUAUGACCUCGGUUUGCCUCAUAAUAACAUUAAGUCCCUGCUUGCUGAUUAUCCAGAGUAUUUUCAGGUAUGUGAAAUCACAGAUCCUGUUACUAACAAAGAAACACUGGCAUUGGAGUUAGUUUCUUGGAGAAAAGAACUUGCAGUAUCUGAAAUGGAAAGAAAAGUGUGUAAUGGUGAUAUUUCAAAUCUAAGAAAAGGAAGGUGCAUAGAGUUUCCAAUGAAUUUCCCUCGAGGGUUUGACUUGGAAAAAAAGGUUAAAAAUUGGGUCGAAAAAUGGCAAGAGCUGCCUUAUGUUUCACCUUAUGAAGAUGCAUUCCAUUUAGCUCCGAGAAGUGACCUGGCAGAGAAAUAUACUGUUGCUGUGCUUCAUGAGUUGUUAUGGCUUUUGGUGUCAAAGAAGACAGAGAGAGAUAAUGUGUUUUGUUUGGGAGAUUAUUUGGGGUUUGGUGAUAGGUUUAAGAAGGCUUUGGUGCAUCAUCCGGGGAUCUUUUAUGUGUCUAAUAAGAUUAGGACACAAACUGUGGUGAUUAGGGAGGCUUAUAAGAAGGAUUUUUUGGUACAGAAGCAUCCGUUGAUGGGGAUGCGGCAUAGGUACAUUCAUCUCAUGAAUAAAUCAAAGGAUAGAAGUAAACAAGUUCGUGUCCCAUCUUUGGGUUCAACAGGAAAAAGAAAGGUUAGAGAGAAAAUGACAAAAGAGGAUGAUAAAUGUGGUUCAGGAGAAGAAGAGGAUUCCAAUGAAUCUUCUGAUUCAGAGUUCCAGGAUUUUGAUAGUCAAGAAACUGUGAAGAUGGAGACCUGAUAAGUAGAGGAUAAAGCUUUGAAAAUUUAACUUGAGAACCUGAGAUAUAUGCUUUAGAAAGCUCAAGAAAAGGUACACUUGUCAAAAUCUAUGCAACUUAUCUAAGAAAAAUGGAAUGCAAGAGGCAUUAAUCAUAUGGCUUAUGAAAUUCAUCAAACUUAGAAAGCGUUAGCCCAAAAAAAGGUAGCUCCAAUCAAUGGAAGGAGCUCAACCUAGUAAUGUUUAUCCGACAUAGGAUGAAAUAUCUGGACAUUCAUGGAUAUUGGAUGAUGACAUCUAUUGGAGGAGGGAGGAUCAGUUUGUCUAGCAAUGCAGAGUAUGACAGUGGAUUGAAGAUAAUCUGCGGUAGCUUCUGUUGUGCAGGGAUAAUGACAUGCACUUACAUUAUGUUCGAGUAUGGAUGAUUGGUGUAUCGAGGAAUAAACUAUUGCUUCAAUGGGUCAUGAAUUUUGAGGUCUCAAAAACUGGACGGAAAAGUCUUGGAAGAAAUGUUUUUACUUCAGUUUCUUUCUUUAGCGUUUGAACUCCAGCUACUGGGUUGGAAAAUUAACUCAUUGGUGGACUGGCAUACUUAAAGUUCAAAUGUACCAUUGGUAGCCAGAUGCAGAGGAGAUUACUAAAGUAUUUGGCUGGUAACAUUACCAACCCUUGACAACUUUUAGAUGGGCAUACUCUAUAUGAUUCUUUUAAUGUUAAUCGAAUGGUUGUCACAGACUGUUAAUAAUAUCAAUCGGGUACUUCAGUGAGAUAAAAGGGAUAUUUCCAAUACUUCAGUAAGAACAAAUAGAUGUUUUAAAAGGAGUAAGGUGUUGCCUAUGCAAGUAAUUUAAUUAUGGAGUGACAACUUGUGGCAUGAUAUGCUCAAGUGUGAAGUUUUAUGAUGCC